ACUUGGUUUAAGGACCCGCGUGUGUGUGUGUCGCUCUUCUUAUUCUGAGAGACGUCACUCGAGUUAUCUCAAGUGUGUGACGAUAUAUCCAACAUUUGUGUGUCAUAGGACACUAAUUGGCCCAUUCAGCCCUGGUUGUCGACUCUGUGUAUACGAGUGAUUCUCACUUUGUGUGUAGCCUGUCUCCACAGGUAGCUAAAUUUUACUCGCUUUCUCUCAUUAUGUCCCUAACCUUGUUUAUCCCUUCUUAGGAACCACAAUCACUACCACAAUUAUC
rnacentral:lncRNA from 1 species